rnacentral:rRNA from 1 species
AGUCGAGCGAACAGAAGGGAGCUUGCUCCCGGAUGUUAGCGGCGGACGGGUGAGUAACACGUGGGUAACCUGCCUGUAAGACUGGGAUAACUCCGGGAAACCGGAGCUAAUACCGGAUAGUUCCUUGAACCGCAUGGUUCAAGGAUGAAAGACGGUUUCGGCUGUCACUUACAGAUGGACCCGCGGCGCAUUAGCUAGUUGGUGGGGUAAUGGCUCACCAAGGCGACGAUGCGUAGCCGACCUGAGAGGGUGAUCGGCCACACUGGGACUGAGACACGGCCCCAGACUCCUACGGGAGGCAGCAGUAGGGAAUCUUCCGCAAUGGACGAAAGUCUGACGGAGCAACGCCGCGUGAGUGAUGAAGGUUUUCGGAUCGUAAAGCUCUGUUGUUAGGGAAGAACAAGUGCGAGAGUAACUGCUCGCACCUUGACGGUACCUAACCAGAAAGCCACGGCUAACUACGUGCCAGCAGCCGCGGUAAUACGUAGGUGGCAAGCGUUGUCCGGAAUUAUUGGGCGUAAAGGGCUCGCAGGCGGUUUCUUAAGUCUGAUGUGAAAGCCCCCGGCUCAACCGGGGAGGGUCAUUGGAAACUGGGAAACUUGAGUGCAGAAGAGGAGAGUGGAAUUCCACGUGUAGCGGUGAAAUGCGUAGAGAUGUGGAGGAACACCAGUGGCGAAGGCGACUCUCUGGUCUGUAACUGACGCUGAGGAGCGAAAGCGUGGGGAGCGAACAGGAUUAGAUACCCUGGUAGUCCACGCCGUAAACGAUGAGUGCUAAGUGUUAGGGGGUUUCCGCCCCUUAGUGCUGCAGCUAACGCAUUAAGCACUCCGCCUGGGGAGUACGGUCGCAAGACUGAAACUCAAAGGAAUUGACGGGGGCCCGCACAAGCGGUGGAGCAUGUGGUUUAAUUCGAAGCAACGCGAAGAACCUUACCAGGUCUUGACAUCCUCUGACAACCCUAGAGAUAGGGCUUUCCCUUCGGGGACAGAGUGACAGGUGGUGCAUGGUUGUCGUCAGCUCGUGUCGUGAGAUGUUGGGUUAAGUCCCGCAACGAGCGCAACCCUUGAUCUUAGUUGCCAGCAUUUAGUUGGGCACUCUAAGGUGACUGCCGGUGACAAACCGGAGGAAGGUGGGGAUGACGUCAAAUCAUCAUGCCCCUUAUGACCUGGGCUACACACGUGCUACAAUGGACAGAACAAAGGGCUGCGAGACCGCAAGGUUUAGCCAAUCCCAUAAAUCUGUUCUCAGUUCGGAUCGCAGUCUGCAACUCGACUGCGUGAANGCUGGAAUCGCUAGUAAUCGCGGAUCAGCAUGCCGCGGUGAAUACGUUCCCGGGCCUUGUACACACCGCCCGUCACACCACGAGAGUUUGUAACACCCGAAGUCGGUGAGGUAACCUUUAUGGAGCCAGCCGC